rnacentral:rRNA from 1 species
AAGCGUUGUCCGGAAUCAUUGGGCGUAAAGCGCGCGUAGGCGGCCCGGUAAGUCCGUUGUGAAAGUCAAAGGCUCAACCUUUGAACGCCGAUGGAUACUGCCGGGCUAGAGUCCGGAAGAGGCGAGUGGAAUUCCUGGUGUAGCGGUGGAAUGCGCAGAUAUCAGGAGGAACACCAAUAGCGAAGGCAGCUCGCUGGGACGGUACUGACGCUGAGGCGCGAAAGCGUGGGGAGCGAACAGG